UUCUUUGAUUUCAGAUUACCUGUAUACUAAAAGUGCUGCUUGGAGAAGAAUGUUAAGCUUAUUGAACAUGAAGGGACUCUGUUAGUGGAGAAAUAAUACCUGAAAUGGCUGCUUGCCACAUGAGGAUACAAAAGAGUGUCAACUGUACGAGUACAUAAAGAAAUUUCUGCUCAGCAUUUGACAUGAUUCUCUCCUGACAAAUCCAGCAUUUCACUGGGAAGAACAGGCAUUCAAAUCCUGA